ensembl:snRNA U6 U6 spliceosomal RNA
GUGCUCACUUCUGCAGCACAUUUAUUAAAAUUGGAAGGAUACAGAGAAGAUUAGCAUGGCCCCUGUGCAAGGAUGACACGUAAAUUAGUGAAGUAUUUUAUAUUUUU